rnacentral:rRNA from 1 species
ACCGGCAGCUCAAGUGGUGGCCAUUAUUAUUGGGCCUAAAGCGUUCGUAGCCGGUUUGAUAAGUCUCUGGUGAAAUCCCGCAGCUUAACUGUGGGACUUGCUGGAGAUACUAUCAGACUUGAGGUCGGGAGAGGUUAGGGGUACUCCCAGGGUAGGGGUGAAAUCCUAUAAUCCUGGGAGGACCACAUGUGGCGAAGGAGAAUAAAUGGAACGAAAAGGAGGGUGAGUAAAGAAAGACAGGGGCGCGAAAAG